rnacentral:rRNA from 1 species
CCGACUGCUAUCAGAGUGGGACUAAGCCAUGCGAGUCGACAUAGCAAUAUGUGGCAUACGGCUCAGUAACACGUAGUCAACAUGCCCAGGGGACGUGGAUAACCUCGGGAAACUGAGGAUAAACCGCGAUAGGUCAUCACUUCUGGAAUGGGUAAUGACUUAAACCUAUAUGGCCCCUGGAUUGGACUGCGGCCGAUCAGGCUGUUGGUGAGGUAAUGGCCCACCAAACCUGUAACCGGUACGGGCUCUGAGAGGAGGAGCCCGGAGAUGGGCACUGAGACAAGGGCCCAGGCCCUAUGGGGCGCAGCAGGCGCGAAACCUCUGCAAUAGGCGAAAGCUUGACAGGGUUACUCUGAGUGAUCUCCGUUAAGGAGAUCUUUUGGCACCUCUAAAAAUGGUGCAGAAUAAGGGGUGGGCAAGUCUGGUGUCAGCCGCCGCGGUAAUACCAGCACCCCGAGUGGUCGGGACGUUUAUUGGGCCUAAAGCAUCCGUAGCCCGGUUCUACAAGUCUUCCGUUAAAUCCACCUGCUUAACAGAUGGGCUGCGGAAGAUACUAUAGAGCUAGGAGCGGGAGAGGCAAGCGGUACUCGAUGGGUAGGGUAAAUCCGUUGAUCCAUUGAAGACCACCAGUGGCGAAGCGCUUGCCAGAACGCGCUCGACGUGAGGGAUGAAAGCUGGAGAGCAAACCGAUUAGAUACCGGUAGUCCAGCUGUAACGAUGCGCUUGGUUAUGAAUUGGCUUAUGGUAAUUCAAGCCCGCAAGGAAGCCGUUUAAGUUUUCCGCCUUGCGAGGUACGGUCGCCAAGAACUGAAACUUAAAAGGAAUUGGCGGGGGAGCACCACAAGGGGGUGAAGGCCUGGCGGUUCAAUUGAAGUCAACGCCGGGAAAUCUUACCCGGGGGCGACAGCAGAGUGAAGGUCAAGCUGAAAGACUUUACCAGACCAAGCUGAGAGGAGGUGCAUGGCCCGUCGCCAGCUCGUGCCGUGAGGUGUCCUGUUAAGUCAGGUAACGAGCGAGAUCCCUGCCUCUAGUUGCUACCAUUAUUCUCAGGAGUAGUGGAGCUAAUUAGAGGGACCGCCGUCGCUGAGACGGAGGAAGGUGGGGGCUACGGCAGGUCAGUAUGCCCCGAAACCCUCGGGCCACACGCGGGCUGCAAUGGUAAGGACAAUGAGUUUCGAUUCCGAAAGGAGGAGGCAAUCUCUAAACCUUACCACAGUUAUGAUUGAGGGCUGAAACUCGCCCUCAUGAAUAUGGAAUCCCUAGUAACCGCGUGUCACUAUCGCGCGGUGAAUACGUCCCUGCUCCUUGCACACACCGC